AUUUCCUCAAUAUAAUUCAUUUGCGUUUUUACAUAUAAAACACCAAAACGGAAUAUAAACUGAAGCCUUACUUUUUAAAUUCACAUAUUUAAUUGUGACAUAUCAUGUGUAUUUCGUUACUUUCAAAUUCCAUUCGAAUACGGAAUUCCAUUUCCCUACUCAUUUAUUCACAUUCAAAAACUAUGACAUUGCUUCUUCCAAGCAAGACUUUAUUCUAGGAGCUCCAGGAGUCAAACCAAAAACUCAUUUGUCUCAGGAAGAGGGGAUAUCACCACAUCUAAGGAGCUGCCUGACUAGAUCUUGCUUAUUAUGUAUAAAGCGUGACACCAUGGCCAUA